rnacentral:rRNA from 1 species
AACGAACGCUGGCGGCAUGCCUAACACAUGCAAGUCGAACGAGACCUUCGGGUCUAGUGGCGCACGGGUGCGUAACGCGUGGGAACCUGCCCUUAGGUUCGGAAUAACUCCCCGAAAGGGGUGCUAAUACCGGAUAAUGUCUUCGGACCAAAGAUUUAUCGCCUUUGGAUGGGCCCGCGUUGUAUUAGCUAGUUGGUAGUGUAAAAGCCUACCAAGGCUACGAUCCAUAGCUGGUCUGAGAGGAUGAUCAGCCACACUGGGACUGAGACACGGCCCAGAAUACUACGGGAGGGAGCAGUGGGGAAUCCUGGAAUACGGGGUAAAGGAUGAUCCCGCAAUGGUGCGUAAGUGCUGAAGUUCUUAGAGUAGUACAGCUGUUUUACACGGCAUGAUACUGACAGUACCGGGAGAAUAAGCUCCGGCUAACUCCGUG